AUUGAACGCUGGCGGCAUGCCUUACACAUGCAAGUCGAACGGCAGCACGGGAGCAAUCCUGGUGGCGAGUGGCGAACGGGUGAGUAAUAUAUCGGAACGUGCCCGGUCGUGGGGAUAACGUAGCGAAAGCUACGCUAAUACCGCAUACGAUCUACGGAUGAAAGCGGGGGGAUCGCAAGACCUCGCGCGAUUGGAGCGGCCGAUAUCAGAUUAGGUAGUUGGUGAGGUAAAGGCUCACCAAGCCGACGAUCUGUAGCUGGUCUGAGAGGACGACCAGCCACACUGGGACUGAGACACGGCCCAGACUCCUACGGGAGGCAGCAGUGGGGAAUUUUUGGGACAAAUGGGCGCAAGCCUGAUCCAGCAAUGCCGCGUGCAGGAUGAAGGCU
rnacentral:rRNA from 1 species